CUUGGCACCGGCGAGGAUAGAAAGAACGUUACUAUGGCGAAGGACUAAUCCAUGAAGAAUAAUUGUGCCAUUCCGAAAUUACUCGGAUACUGAACUUUCACCCUGGUCUAAUGGAAACCGCUUUAUGUUUUCACAUUCACAUGUGAUUCUUCAGAACACUAAAGAAACACCCUCGGCGGUCCGACUUUUAGUGUUUUGGGCAGCUCUCUGAACCCUGCAAGCAGACAAGCAAAUAUUUCUGAAGCAAUCAAGGGUUUUUGCUGCAAAACCAAAUGUGCAGAAUUGCUCUGAACAGUUGUGGAUCAUCCCGAUCCCUUGGCCACAAACAUCUGAACGCCCUCCAGCCGCAGAUGCUCAUAGAAAGGCUCAUCCAGGAUCACGCUGUCAAUGAGGCUACAGCCUAUGUACAGUGACGGAGUCUCAGGGAGGAGGAACAUCGAGAGAAACGUGCUCGCGCAAGAUGCGACAGACGCGUUAGAGACUCAACUGUGCAACCACUCACUGUCAAAUACAAAAAACCAAACCAUGCCUGAAGACAGACAACGCUGAAGAAAGUUACUGUAUUUAUGAAGAACAAUGGCAUUAUAAAAUAAAUCUGAGCUGGAACUUUCUGACUCUGUUUAAAACAAAAAGGAGUCAAAGAGAGAAAGUUAGCAAGACCGAGAGAGUGAGAGAAUAGGAGGAGCUCUGGCCCUGGGUCCCUGGGCACAGAAGGUGCUGCAAUGCUGCUUUACUAACAGUCUGAAUGGGAAGCACCUCUCAGCUUCAUUUCCUUUUUUAUCCCACCCUCUGCCCCCCACUAAAAAAAUAUCCAGUCUACAACACAAAUGCAAGACAGACAUGCUCUUCUGUCUCUCAUUCUCAGACUUUGAAGCUCCAGUGCAAAAAUCCCCUCUACUUCCUGUCCUAUUUAGUUUAAAUCGUGGUAUUCAUGUCAGAUGCAUACCAGCAUUCAGCUCCACUCCUUCAGUGUCAAAGUGUUCAGGUCCACGAUCAAUUCCGCUUCUUUCUCAUUUUUAGUUUAAGAAUAAAUGGCUCUUAAAUGUUCUUCUGUCUAUGUCUAUGCAAGUCUAUAAAAUGUAUGUAAACAUAUAUAUGUCAUUAUUUACUAUUUAUACAUUUUUUAUUACCACACACAACACACACAAAUUAUUUCUUCAGACGUUUUUUGGUGCAGUUGAGGUGCUAUAUAGCACUGUUACCGUGUAAAGAACCUGUUA